CCUACGGGAGGCAGCAGUGAGGAAUAUUGGUCAAUGGACGAGAGUCUGAACCAGCCAUGUAGCGUGAAGGAUGACUGCCCUAUGGGUUGUAAACUUCUUUUAUAAAGGAAUAAAACGAGGCACGUGUGCCUUUUUGCAUGUACUUUAUGAAUAAGGAUCGGCUAACUCCGUGUCAGCAGCCGCGGUAAUACGGAGGAUCCGAGCGUUAUCCGGAUUUCUUGGGUUUAAAGGGAGCGUAGAUGGGUUGUUAAGUCAGUUGUGAAAGUUUGCGGCUCAACCGUAAAAUUGCAAUUGAUACUGGCAGUCUUGAGUACAGUUGAGGUAGGCGGAAUUCGUGGUGUAGCGGUGAAAUGCUUAGAUAUCACGAAGAACCCCGAUUGCGAAGGCAGCUUACUAAACUGUGACUGACAUUGAUGCUCGAAAGUGUGGGUAUCAAACAGGAUUAGAUACCCCAGUAGUC
rnacentral:rRNA from 1 species